rnacentral:rRNA from 1 species
AUUGAACGCUGGCGGCAGGCCUAACACAUGCAAGUCGAGCGGAUGAGUGGAGCUUGCUCCAUGAUUCAGCGGCGGACGGGUGAGUAAUGCCUAGGAAUCUGCCUGGUAGUGGGGGACAACGUUUCGAAAGGAACGCUAAUACCGCAUACGUCCUACGGGAGAAAGCAGGGGACCUUCGGGCCUUGCGCUAUCAGAUGAGCCUAGGUCGGAUUAGCUAGUAGGUGAGGUAAUGGCUCACCUAGGCGACGAUCCGUAACUGGUCUGAGAGGACGACCAGCCACACUGGGACUGAGACACGGCCCAGACUCCUACGGGAGGCAGCAGUGGGGAGUUUUGGACAAUGGGCGCAAGCCUGAUCCAGCAAUGCCGCGUGCAGGAUGAAGGCC